rnacentral:rRNA from 1 species
GACGUAGGGUGCAAGCGUUGUCCGGAUUUACUGGGCGUAAAGAGCGCGUAGGCGGCUCGUUAAGUGUGAAGUGAAAUCUCUAGGGCUCAACCUUUGAAAGCCGAUGGAUACUGCGGAGCUAGAGUACGGAAGAGGCGAGUGGAAUUCCUGGUGUAGCGGUGGAAUGCGCAGAUAUCAGGAGGAACACCAAUAGCGAAGGCAGCUCGCUGGGACGUUACUGACACUGAGGCGCGAAAGCGUGGGGAGCGAACAGG